UUGUGAUAAACUUUGUAAGCUUUGCUUCAGUACAACUAAUUUUAAAAUCUUAUAUAGUGCUAUAGAUUUCAUGGUAAGGUUUCUUUGCUUUUCAUGAUUGAAGGUCGACAAGACUCAAAGCAUGAUAUCUGAGUUUCUUAGAAAAUGUCUUUGCUUAUGUGAACGCUAAUGAUGUGCUUGAAGAGAUUUUGAGAUCAAAUUGCUGGUUUUAACUAAUGGAUGCUAAUUUUAUGAAAGUUACUUUCAAAUGAAAAGAGGGAAGCUUUAGCAGGAAUCUUUCUACUCCCUCAUGGAGAGUUUGUAUCUGGCUGGUGAUCGUCUAACGUUCUAGUUUGUGAAGAGGAUGCACCAUUAGAUUUACCUCGUUCAUCUUAUGCUCAUCAGAAAACGUCUUUUUUGAUUAAAAUGAUUGCAAACCUUCAUUGCUUUGUUCCUGAUGUAUACCAGGGGUAAAUGAUUUAGUAAUUUUCGGUUUCAAUCGGGGUAUGCUGCUUGAUAGUAAUAUUUAACAACUAAUAACAUUUGUUUCAAUCUCAGAUGAGAAAGAUCUGUUUCUCAACAUGCUCAUUCGGUUCAUAGAAAAGGACUAUCAGAAACUGUCAGCAUUUUGGUAUGCGAGAAGGUACUAGGUUUCCCAGCAGGUGGGAAAUCCGAACUUUUAUUAUAGUCGUCAAAUCCUGGGUCUUGUGGAUGUGCUUAUUUGUCUUGCUUGCUUGAUGGCGAGCAAGACUUCUGUUUGGGGUAUUUUACGUGUGUGGGCAAUUUAACUGGUUAUUAUACAAUGGAUGGAAUGGAGGGUAGCGUACUACUGCUCUGGUUCAAUUUUGACCACUUCACUAUUUAUUCCAGCGAGUUGAAGGGUAUAAAGCUGCAAUCAAUAUUUGCUUCAAUAUUCAAACAUUUUUUUAAUAAACUAACUUUAGUUCGAUAUUUAGUGUGUCAUUUCAUACUUAAGCCAUCAAUGAAGAACUACUACAAAAUCAUUCUGAUGCUCUACACUUGUCGGUACCUGAUAAAAUUGGGGUUGGAUCUUUGUCUAGUUCUGAGGAACACUAUAUCUUCACGAUACCAGGAUGACGCGUGGAAAGACUUUAUGUUUGAGGCAGACUACAGAGCAAUCAUGCUGCGUUUGAGGCUACUGAGAUAAUUCAGCAUAUUCUAGUGUUACUCGUAGUCUAUUUGAAGGCCUCUCUAAGCAUUUAGAUUCAUUCUUGCAAAUGUUAUCUCUUGUGCUGCUAAGUUGUUUUCUGUGAUUGUUCCUAGUGCAUAAAUAGACUAGAUAGUACUUAGUCAAUCUGAAGGUCGAGGGUAGUAGGGGCCGACUGAGUUCUUAACUUAAAAG